CACGUAGGUAGUACAUCAAGUUGGAUGUGAAAGAACUGGGCUUAACCUAGUGCUGUCAUCCAAAACUGAGGAACUAGAGUACAGUAGAGGGUAGUGGAAUUUCCGGUGUAGCGGUGAAAUGCGUAGAUAUCGGAAGGAACACCAGUGGCGAAGGCGGCUACCUGGACUGAUACUGACACUGAGGUGCGAAAGCGUGGGUAGCAAACA
rnacentral:rRNA from 1 species